UAGGCAUGUACAACAACUACAAAUGUGGACAGGACACCAUUAACAAACCUAAAUGGUCGAUUGAAAUGUGUACCCUCCAUUAAGGUAACUUCAAGUGAUAAAACAGGGAGCUCUUUUUUAAUAGGUUGUAGCAUUUGUUUGUAUUCCUACAAUAAAUUCGAAAAAUUGAAACAAUAUUUGUUUUUACCAAAAUGUCUAAAAACUUGAUUUUCAACUAAAAGAAAAGCAAAUAAUGCUUCAGGAGAGAAGAGACAAUGGUAAAUAAUAUAGAAUUUUGAUGUAAGUCUUAAUCGAAAGAAGGAUAUACUGUUGUUUACUUGUAGUUGCCUUGAAUUGAAUUACAAUGAAUAAAAACUUUGCAUUCAACUAUUCUAAAAGCAAGUGAUGCUUACGGAGAGAUAAGAAAAUCAAAAUUAACUGGGAUGGCGUUAGGAUGAGAAGUGGAAAUACCAGAUAGAUGUGAAAAAUUGUCAAAGUUCACUGUUUCAUCACAUGUUUUCCAAUCAUUGAAAAAAAAAUUACAAUUUCAUAUUCAAUUAAAACCGAUUGAAACCAUAAUAACGCUUACGGAGGGUACAGAUGACUGUGAAGUCAAGAUCACCACUGAGGGUGUUAUAUAGAGAAGUUGAUCUACCAUGUUGAUCUCAGCCACGACCAAAGUAGGAGUCCACACUGUUGUAUAGCUUGCUGUUGCCUGUUAUUCAAACACAACGAUUAAUAACUUUAUAUUGAACAAAACAAAAAGUAAAUAAUGCUUACAAGGAAAACAGACAAUUCUGAAUUUCCAUGUAGGGUGUUAGAAUGAGAAGUGGAUCCACUUUUUUAUCCGUCAUGAGACCUUUGAGUCAGAGGGAAUACAUUGUGGUAUAACUUGUAGUUGCCUAGUACUGAAUCACAAUGAUUAAUAACUUGAUAUUCAACUAAACUCGACUUCACUAAAAGUCAAACAGGCUUACAGAUAGAAGUCGUAGCCCACAUCACCACUCAAAGUGUAAAAAAAAAUUGAAUUUAGAAUGUUGAUUUCAUUCGUGACCAACUGAUUGUGAUAGAAUGAGGAGUGGAUGUAGAAUGUUGAUGUAAGUCACGAGCAAAAAAAGAGCUCACUGUUUUAUCACUUAAAGUUACCUAAUUUUGAGAAUAAAUUGAUUAAUAACUAGAUAUUCAAGUUAACUAAAAGCAACCAGUAAUCCAAACCUUAAUGGAGGGUACAGAUUUCAAUCGACCAUUCAGUCAGAUUAUGGUUCCCUGUCCACAUUUGUAAUUGUUGUACAUGCCUAAAAGAAAAAAAAUAAUUAAUUGAAAUUAAGGACAUCAAUACAUAUAAUUUUUUAAUUAACAACUUUUUAUUUAUUAUGAAUACCAUGCACAGACAAUAAGUCAUCACCACGGAUGGCAAGCAUGAUGGCAAGGAAAACAAAACAGACUGACGAUCAAAAAAAUUUUAAACCGCGGAAAGAUGACAUGGAAUGUGGAACUUUCGGAAGUAGUUUACGACCCUCUGGCUAUGAAAAGUAGGGGAUGGGAAGGGGUAGGGGCUAGGAACCAUUCGGCAACAGGGAGAUAGCGAGCUGAUGGGCCGUUAUUUCAGUAGGCCAUGGUCUUCACACACCUUAAUUUUAAAAAUUGACUAUUUGUGCUAAAUUUUUACUUUUUCCUGUGUAAUUUUGUUCGUGACUUCUUGACCAUGUAUUGAAAAUGUCAAAAAGAUUGGUUUAUUGAACGGUGCCUUAAAAAAUUGGUUUUAUAGACACCCUUUCUCGCUUAUUUUGUGACGAUUUAUAGUGAAUCGUGAAGCCACGACCACGAGUCACAUUAUAAACCCACUGUUUUGCUCCAUCAUUUGUGUAAAUGUACAUAGACUACAUACAAUUAGAACUAUAUAGUCAAAUGGAAAUUUCCUAGGUAAAUGGCUGAAAUAUGGUUCACUCUUAAGACUGUGUUUUGUUUUAAAAACGUAUAAAAGAUGAGAUGCAAUGAGGAAUUCCGUUUUGCAAGAAUCCCUUUCGGGAAUUUCAUGAUUGUGAAACAGAAAUUUUUACUAUUUGAUAAUCUGUACUGCCCAAAAAUUUAUAGGUCUGGCUGAACCACUUACAACGUAGUUAAUUGUAACUUAUAACUGAAAUUGUGGUUUCGAAUUUACCUAAAACAUACUUGAAUACUAUUGCAUUAUUGCAACAAUGUUAAAUCCAAACAAAUAAAAUUUUCAGCGGCUCUUACAAAAGGCCUCGGCCUGUUUAUUGAAUCGAGAGGUACCCGAGGAAUUUAAAUGAGGAUAUUGUUUGUUGUUUUUUUUUUUCUUGUUUUUUACCACAAUGAGAAUACAGUUUUAGGGAUAAUACAGAGGAAAAAUUUGAUCCACUUUUCCCAAUAUCGACAUGGUUAUCUCCUUUUGUUUGAACGGAUGAACAAACAAAACGAUACUCAUGCUCAGAAAUAGCUGAAAGAGAAGUUAAGUAAAAUCGUAAUGGAGAAAUAAAGUUGACCAAGAAACGUAAAGCGAAAACAGGCACGGUACACUUUUGUCACUACCUAAAACUUUUUUUUUUUUUUUUUUUUGGGGACUGUUUUUUAUUGGUAGCUGUUUGGGUGGGGAAAUUUUUUUUGGGAACAAAUUUGUAUGGUUUGUUUGUUUUUACCGAUGCGUCCAUGUUGGAUAAGGAUUGCAACACACAACACAUCCACUGUUGAUGAACCUCCCGAAUCUACAUAGCAGCAAGAGUUAGAACCGUUUACAGAAAAUGAUGGAUUGAGAGAACAAAUGAUACGAUAAAAAAUUGCAACAAAAAGAGAAGGCAUGGGAGAAAGCGAACAUUUAAGGAGACCGAUUAUUACACGUCAGUAGGGGAAGUGUUAAGGUGGUUGAAUUUUGAACGAUCCCAAACGAAAUCCAAACACGAGUGCUGCGACUAGAACCCGGGGACGUAUGGUUUUCCUUUUAAAUCUAUGUGAAAAAGGAGUAACCGAGGAUGUCGACACAAAGGUUGCCCAUCACCGAAGCUGGAAUCACGUUUAUAGCCACCAUGUUGUUAGUGUUCACUUAAUAUUUUGAUAGUUAACCUGUUGGCAAAAUAGCCCAAGUGGUAAUGCCUUCUUCUCCACUAAAAAAAAAAAAAAAAAAAAAAAAAAAAAAGAUUUUAGUCGUUUCUCGUCUGAUACCCAACACCAUCAAGACACUGUGUUAUGAUUUUUUUUUGUCGUUUUUUCGUUUCUUUUUUUCUUAUGGAAGUGACAAACAUUGUGCUACUGAUAGUUUUUUUU
rnacentral:lncRNA from 1 species